AGUACCGAAGUCCCUGAUUUCACACUGCCAAGAAAAGCGUCUAGCGAGGAAGCCGGUGCCCGUACCGCAAACCGACACAGGUAGGCGAGGAGAGAAUCCUCAGGUGCUCGGGAGAACUCUCGUUAAGGAACUCGGCAAAAUGGCCCCGUAACUUCGGGAGAAGGGGCGCUCCGGUAGGGUGAUGAGCCCGAGGGAGCCGCAGUGAAAAGGCCCAAGCGACUGUUUAGCAAAAACACAGGUCUCUGCUAAGCCGAAAGGCGACGUAUAGGGGCUGACGCCUGCCCGGUGCUGGAAGGUUAAGGGGAGAGGUAAGUGUCUUCGGAUGCGAAGCUUUGAACCGAAGCCCCAGUAAACGGCGGCCGUAACUAUAACGGUCCUAAGGUAGCGAAAUUCCUUGUCAGGUAAGUUCUGACCCGCACGAAUGGCGUAACGACUUGGGCGCUGUCUCAACGAGAGACCCGGUGAAAUUGUAAUACCUGUGAAGAUGCAGGUUACCCGCGGCAAGACGGAAAGACCCCGUGGAGCUUGACUGCAGCUUGAUAUGGGAGAUGGGUACAUCAUGUACAGGAUAGGUGGGAGGCAGAGAAAUCAGGGCGCCAGCCUUGGUGGAGCCGACGUUGGGAUACCACCCUUGAGGUAUUGAUCUUCUAACUCGUCACCUUGAAGCAGGUGAGAGGACAGUGUCAGGCGGGCAGUUUGACUGGGGCGGUCGCCUCCCAAAGAGUAACGGAGGCGCCCAAGGGUUCCCUCAGCGCGGAUGGAAAUCGCGCAUUGAGUGCAAAGGCAUAAGGGAGCUUGACUGCGAGACGGACAGGUCGAGCAGGGACGAAAGUCGGGCUUAGUGAUCCGGCGGUGCCGAGUGGAAGGGCCGUCGCUCAACGGAUAAAAGCUACCCCGGGGAUAACAGGCUUAUCUCCCCCAAGAGUCCACAUCGACGGGGAGGUUUGGCACCUCGAUGUCGGCUCAUCGCAUCCUGGGGCUGUAGUCGGUCCCAAGGGUUGGGCUGUUCGCCCAUUAAAGCGGUACGCGAGCUGGGUUCAGAACGUCGUGAGACAGUUCGGUCCCUAUCUGCCGCGGGCGCAGGAAGUUUGAGAGGAGUUGUCCUUAGUACGAGAGGACCGGGAUGAACCGACCGCUGGUGUCUCAGUUGUGGUGCCAACCGCAUCGCUGAGUAGCCAAGUCGGGCCGGGAUAAGCGCUGAAAGCAUCUAAGCGCGAAGCCCCCCUCAAGAUCAGACUUCCCACACGGACAACGUGGUAAGAUCCCCUGAAGAAGACAGGGUGGAUAGGCUGGGUGUGUAAGCAUGGUGACAUGUUGAGCUGACCAGUACUAAUCGAUCGAGGGCUUAAU
rnacentral:rRNA from 1 species